CUGUCCAUCUUUGCACGUAAGCCAAAGAUGACUUUCAUCACAAUAUAAGCAUGAGGAUGAUGACAAUGAUAUAAGCAUUAAUCAAACGAAAUCGAGAAUAAAUAUUAAAGACUUUAAAUUUAUCCAAAGUUUAAAAAUAUCCAAAUUGUCAACAUGAUACUACUUUGUGGAGUAAAAUUCAAGAAUAAUAUUCAUGUACCAAAAAUAAUUUGGACAGAAAAGAAAUAUAUUUUUCGGGUGAA
rnacentral:lncRNA from 1 species